rnacentral:rRNA from 1 species
AUUGAACGCUGGCGGCAUGCCUUACACAUGCAAGUCGAACGGCAGCACGGGAGCAAUCCUGAUGGCGAGUGGCGAACGGGUGAGUAAAGCCUCGGAACGUGCCCAGUCGUGGGGGACAACGUAGCGAAAGGUACGCUAAUACCGCAUACGAUCUAUGGAUGAAAGCGGGGGAUCGCAAGACCUCGCGCGAUUGGAGCGGCCGAAAUCAGAUUAGGUAGUUGGUGGGGUAAAGGCUCACCAAGCCGACGAUCUGUAGAUGGUCUGAGAGGACGACCAGCCACACUGGGACUGAGAAACGGCCCAGAACCCUAAGGGAGGCAGCAGUGGGGGAUAUUGGACAAUGGGGGGAACCCUGAUCCAACCAUGCCGGGUGUGUGAAGAAGGCCUUAUGGUUGUAAAGCACUUUAAGCGAGGAGGAGGCUCUUUUGGUUAAUACCCAAGAUGAAAGGACGUUACUCGAAGAAUAAGCACCGGCUAACUCUGUGCCAGCCGCCGCCGUAA